rnacentral:rRNA from 1 species
CAGUAGCCGCGGUAAGACAGAGGAUGCAAGCGUUAUCCGGAAUGAUUGGGCGUAAAGCGCGCGCAGGCGGAACAGUUAGUCUGUCUUAAAAGUUCGGGGCUUAACCCCGUGAUGGGAUGGAAACUGCUGAUCUAGAGUAUCGGAGAGGAAAGUGGAAUUCCUAGUGUAGCGGUGAAAUGCGUAGAUAUUAGGAAGACCACCAGUGGCGAAGGCGACUUUCUGGACGAAAACUGACGCUGAGGCGCGAAAGCCAGGGGAGCGAACGGGAUUAGAUACCCCUGUAGUCCCUGUCUCUUAUACC